GCACUGGUUGCAUAUGGCACGCCCGCCGUCUUUGUAGCUAAGAUAGAUAUCAUUCUAUAACGGCGGAUUGGGGUUCGAAUCCCCACCAGUGCA